rnacentral:rRNA from 1 species
GAUGAACGCUGGCGGCGUGCCUAAUACAUGCAAGUCGAGCGAAGCGGGGACGGGUGAGGACCACGUAGAUAACCUCCUAUAAGACUGGGAUAAAUUCGGGAAACAGUAGCUAAAGCUGAUACUUAUAGGUGGAUCAGCGCUGCAUUCGCUAGUUGGUAAGUUAACGGCUUACCAAGGCCACGAUGCAUAGCCGACCUGAGAGGUGGAUCGGCCAACCUGGAACUGAGACACGGCCCAGACUCCUAGGGGAGGAAGCAGUAGGGAAUCUUCCGCAAUGGGCGAAAGCCUGACGGAGCAACGCCGCGUGAGUGAGGAAGGUUUUCGGAUCGUAAAACUCUGUUAUUAGGGAAGCGGUACCUAAUAAGAAAGCCCCGGCUAACUACGUGCCAGAGCCGCGGUAAUAC